rnacentral:rRNA from 1 species
UACGUAGGCAGCGAGCGUUGUUCGGAGUUACUGGGCGUAAAGGGUGUGUAGGCGGUUGUUUAAGUUUGGUGUGAAAUCUCCCGGCUCAACUGGGAGGGUGCGCCGAAUACUGAAUGACUUGGAGUGCGGGAGAGGAGAGUGGAAUUCCUGGUGUAGCGGUGGAAUGCGUAGAUAUCAGGAGGAACACCGGUGGCGAAGGCGGCUACCUGGACAGAAACUGACGCUGAGGCGCGAAAGCUAGGGGAGCAAACAGG